UACGGAGGGUGCAAGCGUUGUCCGGAUUUAUUGGGUUUAAAGGGUGCGUAGGCGGUCCAUUAAGUCCGGGGUGAAAGCCCGUUGCUCAACAACGGAACUGCCCUGGAAACUGGCGGACUUGAGUACAGACGAGGGUGGCGGAAUGGAUGCUGUAGCGGUGAAAUGCAUAGAUAGCAUCCAGAACCCCGCUUGCGAAGACAGCUGCCUAGACUGUAACUGACGCUGAGGCACGAAAGCGUGGGGAGCGAACAGG
rnacentral:rRNA from 1 species